rnacentral:rRNA from 1 species
UACGUAGGGUGCGAGCGUUGUCCGGAAUUAUUGGGCGUAAAGAGCUCGUAGGCGGUUUGUUGCGUCGGCCGUGAAAACCUGCAGCUUAACUGUGGGCCUGCGGCCGAUACGGGCAGACUUGAGUUCGGUAGGGGAGACUGGAAUUCCUGGUGUAGCGGUGAAAUGCGCAGAUAUCAGGAGGAACACCGGUGGCGAAGGCGGCAUCCUGGACCGGCAUUGACGCUGAGGCGCGAAAGCUAGGGGAGCAAACGGG